rnacentral:rRNA from 1 species
GUACCGUGAGGGAAAGGUGAAAAGCACCCCGACGAGGGGAGUGAAACAGUACCUGAAACCGAACGCCUACAAUCAGUUGGAGGGUCUUUACGGCCUGACAGCGUACCUUUUGUAUAAUGGGUCAACGACUUAUAUUUUGUAGCAAGGUUAACCGAAUAGGGGAGCCGUAGGGAAACCGAGUCUGAAUAGGGCGAAUCAGUCGCUAGGCAUAGACCCGAAACCGGGCGAUCUAUCCAUGAGCAGGUUGAAGGUUGAGUAACAUCAACUGGAGG